ACAGAACUCUGCAUUUUGAAGAAGCUUUGGAAGUUGAGGCUUGAACUUGGCCUUUAAGAACAGCUUCAGGCACGUCUCAGCAUGCCUCCCUCUCAUGGAAGUUCCCAGGAAGCCCACCAUGUACGUGUCUGUACGUGUCUGUAGAAGAGGAGGAAAUUUUUUUCCGGGAGCCGGCUGAUUACACAAAGAACAAAGGUAUUUCUAUGUUUGGUUUUGCUCCCUUAUCUGUGCAGCUGCAGCUUGAUUUUUCAGGCUGUUUCUAUGUUUAAAAGAAUUCUACCAAGAGGAAUGAAAACCCUAAGUGCGAGUAGGGACAUUGUGCAUUGAUCGUUCAGACUACUUCAUGCUGGAGAGGGCAUCAUAUGGG
rnacentral:lncRNA from 1 species